GAUGAACGCUGGCGGCGUGCCUAAUACAUGCAAGUCGAGCGAACAGACGAGGAGCUUGCUCCUUUGACGUUAGCGGCGGACGGGUGAGUAACACGUGGAUAACCUACCUAUAAGACUGGGAUAACUUCGGGAAACCGGAGCUAAUACCGGAUAACAUGUUGAACCGCAUGGUUCAACAGUGAAAGACGGUCUUGCUGUCACUUAUAGAUGGAUCCGCGCCGCAUUAGCUAGUUGGUAAGGUAACGGCUUACCAAGGCAACGAUGCGUAGCCGACCUGAGAGGGUGAUCGGCCACACCGGAACUGAGACACGGUCCAGACUCCUACGGGAGGCAGCAGUAGGGAAUCUUCCGCAAUGGGCGAAAGCCUGACGGAGCAACGCCGCGUGAGUGAAGAAGGUCUUCGGAUCGUAAAACUCUGUUAUUAGGGAAGAACAAACGUGUAAGUAACUAUGCACGUCUUGACGGUACCUAAUCAGAAAGCCACGGCUAACUACGUG
rnacentral:rRNA from 1 species